rnacentral:tRNA from 1 species
GGAGAAGUACUCAAGUGGUCGAAGAGGCGUGACUCGAAAUCUCGUAGGACGUUAACCGCGUUGCGUGGGUUCAAAUCCCACCUUCUCCGCCA